ensembl:snRNA
ACUUUCCUUGUCAUGGGGUGGUUCGGGAAGCUCAAUGAACGCGUAGUGAGAGUUUCCCUGCUGACACCAUAUCAACACAUACGCACCUCCUGAACUCUCAGUUCGGGUUCUGGUGCAAUUUUUGGAAAC